UUUUUUUUGCUAAACAAGGUUUCUAAUAAAAAUAGGUAAGGAAGAAAAUAAAAAAGCGAGGCAGUCAGACUGAAGAAAGUCCAAAAUUUCCGCCUUUAAAAGCAAUAAAAAUAAUUUCUGGAUUGCAAAAUUAAAUAAAGCAAGCACUUUCUUCCCUAAUCUUAACCAACUUUACAACCUCUUCCUUUUGCUUUCUUUUACCUUUUACUUUUUUUGACAUGGCUCACUACUUUGAAAUACACUACCCCUUAACAAGAAUUAAUGUCAUUACUUCCAAAUUUAUGACCAACUAUUUAGCAUACGCCUUUACCAAAAUCUAUUUUCUAAGCAGCAAGUUCUAAACCAAUCUUAUUCACUAUCCAAAUGAACUCAACUAAUUUGCUCCAUUUUCUUCUGAAACAUAACUGAAUUACUCUCUCUAUUCCAAUUUAGACAACAGUAUCUCAUUUGAGACAACAACAAUAACUAAAAAUCCAGUGUGUAAUUUCACAUGGGAGGAUGUGAUGUACACAGUUUUACCCUUACCUUGCCCUGCCUUGCGAAGUUAGAGGGCACGUUAUGUACACAGCCUAUAGUACACAACUUUUACAAGUUUUUAAGACUUCCAAUAUAUUCUUGAGAUCUUUUAACUGUUGAUUUUUAUUAAUAUUUUGUGUUUCAACUAUUACCUUACCAUUUUCUUUUUUUAAUUUAUAUAAAAUCGACAGUGUAAUUUUGUUUAAAACUAUUAGUAGCUAAUUUUAACCCGUAAUACCAGGUUAGUGGUAACUAUUUCUCUUAAUUAUUUACAUAAAUUUUACGCCAAAGUUAAACUUAUUAAUUUAGCAUGCAAGUCAAACUAUAUUGUGUAACAGUAAUUUACCUGCAUUACAUGGUGAGCAGAACCAGAAGUAGGCAAAGGACGAAUAGUAGCAGAGUCUACUUCACCAGUGGGCAAAGGAACCGCCGGAUUGCUAUUAAUAAACGGAAUAUCACCACCUUUUUCCGGCAACAUUGGUCCAUUAGCAGGAAAUAAUGCACUAGGUGCAGGGCUAGGGGAUGUGGUUUCUCGCGGCUGAAACGGCCAUGGGUAUGCCGGAGAAGAUGACACAACGCCACCAGAUACCACCGGUGGAGAUCCCGCCGGUGGCUGCUCCGGCGCCGGAGUUGAAAGAGAGACCUUAAUUGCUAGCUUUUGGCCUUGUAAACAUGCUGCAUUGGAUCCAUUGUUGAAUGAGAAGUAAAAGUAACCUGGUCUUGAUGGGUGCCACUGCAUUCAUUUUAACAGAAUUAAAUUCAUCAUAAACAAUAAAAAGGAUCAAAUCCUUUAGCUGAUUUUUAACACCCUUUUGAAUUCUAGCCGUGAAUCUUAAAAAUUUCUGAAGAAAUUGAAGGUAUAUACAAGAAAGUUGAGACUUAACACACACACACACACACAUGAACAGGAACUGAAAGAGGAACUUACAGUGUAAGACUUGGAAUCAGAUUUAGUAAGAAGUGUAGCUUGAGUGAAAUUGCAGACAUUGAAGGCAUUUUGGUUCUGGAAAAUGUAGAGAUUGUACUGAUACUUGUUCUUGAAUACUGAAGAGAAAAAAAAACUUAGAGUAAAAAAUUUUGGUCAACUCAAAAACUACCAAUAACAGCAAAAUGGCUCAUAAUUGAAUGACUGCUAGUACAACUUACUAAUGGAAUCUCCAAUUUGGACUGUUGGGUUUUUCCAUUCUGAAACUCCAUCAACUACUACAGUUGCACUAUGAGAAAGCUGAAAAAUUACACUUUCAAGAAUGAAGAAAAACACCCAAAACAUUGAGACAAGUCCCAUGAAAAUUGGUGCUAAAUUCUUAGUCCUAAGUGAGGAAAGAAAGAAAGGGUAUUAAAGAGAGUAACAGUUAGUGUAAGCUUUAAUACUAUCUUUUUGAGGUUGAGAAUCCAAUUUAAUGGAGGAAAAAGAGAGUGAUACAGAAAAGUAUAAAUACACAGAGAAAGAGAAAAAUGGAGAGCAACAGAGGUGUUAAAGAGAGUUGUCAGAUGUAUUGGGCUUUUCACGGGAAGAGAGUUUUGAAUGGUGUACAGAUAUUGAAAUUUUGGGGAAUGUGUAUAUUAGCACUAGUACUAGUACUAGUACUAUUAUAGAGGAGUAAUUAUUUUUUUUUAUUUUUAAGUUUUUACAGUAAAAGUUGGAAUGAUUUUGUCUGCGCAAAAUAAAUAUUUAACAAACAAAAAGAUGCUUUCUUUUUAGGAAAAGUGGAACAUGGAAUUAUGAUGAUUUUGGGUAGAUGGUGAUGAGUUAUGAGUUAUGAGUGAUGAUGGGGAUUAUUAUUUCAAAAUGAUUAGUUUUGUGAUUAUGAAUUUAUUACUCUAUUAUUAUUAUUUCCCUUUUCUUAGGGGUCUUGGGGAACCCAAAUUUUAUUUGUUUAAAACUUUUGAGUACCAUUUUUUAAAAUUACUUGAGCCGUUGCUUGUGGAUUUUCUAGGUUUAUAUUACUUUUUACUAGGUUGUGGGUUGUCACAUGUUAAUGCUUAGAAAAAGUUGCUAAUUGGUACUACUACUAUCGUUUUUUAGGCAGAAGCAUUCACAAUAUUGAGGUCCAAAGGUGUCGAUCAGAAAUUACUGUGUCCAUGUCAUGAGUGAACUAUUAUCCUACUAAUAUCAGUAAGUUCCUAAAAAUGAUUAUUGUUGAUUCUAUUAGCUAACUUAAUAAAGAAAGAAAUGCUCCUCAAUCAUCUUGGUAUAUAUAUUUAACUAUAAACUUAUUCCAUCUUUAUAAGUUAUUAUUAUUUUACAAAUCUUCAAGCUUUAAAAAAAUUAGUAAGAACACAUAAACUUUUGUAGAUUUAAGAGUUUUUUAAAUUUUUUUCCAAAGGUAUAUAUUCUUAAGUUUAUUCUAUAAACACAAUCACGCAUGGGUAGCUAACUAACAAAAAUCUUUUUCUUGCCCAAGGAAAAAAUAUAAAUUCGGCUAUUUCUUUAAUUGAUUGAAAUACUAUAUGAAUUGUAAAAUAACUCAAAAAUAUAAAUAGCUCAACGACUUCAUUAAGGUGCAGAUAUAUUUUAGAUUCGUAUCAAUUAUUACUGAAUUUAUAUUCCACGAUUGUAAAUAAAUUGUGGUAUUCAUAUUCCUAGCAUUCAGUAAUGAGGCUAAUUAUAUCUCUUUCGUAUUCUUCAGCCACGCACACUAUAUGUACUAAAUUUAGUAUAUCUUUCUCUAAGAAGUUUAAUUGUUCUAUUUUUAAAUGUUUAAGGCUCAUUAUUUCUAUUUCAUGUAAUUGCUUUCUAUUUUUUAUAAAAUAGCAAAUUACAUGUCCACCGAAAACAAACAUGCUAAUUUGUUAUAUCUUUCUGUAUGAAGUUUGAUUGUUCUAUGCUUAAAUAUUUAAGGCUCAGUGGUUUCUAAUUUUAUGUAGUUACUUUUUUUAUAUAAUUUUCUCAUAAAAUAGCAAAUUAUAUGUUCACGAAAAAUAAAUAUUUUAACUUUUAAAUUACAUACUUGAAUUGAUAGCUAUGAAGAAAAUUAUAAGAACUUUUGUUACUACAAAACUGAAGAAUGUCUAUUAUUAAACUUCAAGAAUAAACUAAAAGUCAGAAAAUUAAACUCAAAAUAAAAGCAAAUUUACCUUCGCAAACCUCGACGCUAUCAAGAAUUUUUGAAAAGGAAUAUGAAAUAUUGGCUUCUUUUACAGAAGUGUCCAACUCCUCCUUUAUCUAAAUGACUUUGGUUUCAAAAUUCUAAGCAAUAUAGGUUGAUGAAAGCAUUGUCCAACCCGAAAACUAAAAGAGAGUGUUUAUGGAGAAUAAAAAUUGGGUAUUAAUCGACUUCUUUUUACACACUUUGAAAGGAAUAUUAAAGAAUGCGUUUCCUACUUACUAUCUUUUCUUGUCCAUUUUAACCUAUGAAAAUUUACCUCUUUAAUAUGUAUAUUAAACAAUGAGUUUCCACUUAAUGUCUAAUUCUUUUUUCCUUUAUAACAUACGAAAAUUUCGACCAUAUUAGUAGGAAUAUUAAAUAAUGAGUUUCUUCUUAUGUCUUAUUCUUUUUAACUUUUUACCUUGAUAAGUUUUACUUUUCCCGCAAGCUAUGGGAUGGAAGGACUGUUUUUUAUGUUAUUAAUUAAGAAAGAGUUUCCUUUUUAUUUUACUGGCAACCUUUUUUUCAAAAAAAUAAAUACUUUAUUUGUAUUUAUAAUUUUAUCCAAUAUAAAAUACACCUAUAGAGGAUAAAAAAGACGAACGACAUUUCGCUCAGGAGCUUCGUGCUUUUAAUAUAGUAUAGAUAGGGUGUGUUUGGUCUUGGAAUAUAUAUAUUUUUUUGGAAAAUAAGUGGAUUUUUUUUACUUAUUUUCUGAUGUUUGGUUAGGUAACAGAAAAUACUUUUAGAAAAUUUAUAAUUUAGGCAAAUAGUAUAUGAGGCGAAAUAGAUAAAGGCGGGGGAGGACGGUAGGUCGAGGUCUAGGGAUCGGGUUGGCGGUAAGAGGGGGGGGGGGGAUAGCGGGAUAGCGGUGGGAGUGGGGAAUAUGGUGGAAAAGUUGAGAAAAGGUUUUGAAAAAUAUUUUCACUCCUUUUGAUAAGAGAGUUAUUUUUGUCUAAUUGGAGAAAAAUGAGUUCAUGAGAAAAAUAUUUUCCAAAAUAUUUAAGUCAACCAAACAUGAGAAAAUUGAAAAAUAUUUUACAGAAAAUUAAUAUUUUUCCCAUACCCAAACACACCCAUAAUCUGCCAUUUUUUAAGUUAUAAAUCUGCCCUUUUAAGUUAUAAUUAUCUGCUUUACUCUAAAUUCAGAGAGCAUUUUUAGGUUUAAAAUGAUUUCUUAAUGGAAAAAUGAUUUUAUUUUGUGUUUGCACAAGUUCCGGCUAACCUUGACCGGUUUUUGCCCAAAUUGAUAUUCAAGAAUAUCUAGUGUGAAAGUUGAGUGAUUUUUUUGGUUUGAACUAUUAGUUUAAAGAUUUCCCUAUAAUUAGACUUAUAUAAGUUUAAUGAGACUCUACGUAAUUAAUGUAACCUCAUACUUUACUAUUGAAAGCAUUUGGAUAUAUACCUAUAUUUUUCACAAACGUACAAGUUUAAACCUCUACUUUAUCCAAAAUAAUGUCCAUGCAUAUGUUUUCAAAUUCAAUUGCUUAAAGAAAGAAAGAAAAAGAAAAAAGAGAGAAAUUAACGAACACUACCUUCAAGUAUAAAAUAAAUGGAAAAGGAAGAAAAAGAAAAACUCGGUUAUCCGAAAGUAAUAAUAGGUCAAACAAUAGGUCAACUUAAAUCUAGAGCACAGUGAAAAAGUAAGAAAUGUAGAAUAAAUAACAUGACUGGAUUAGAACUUAGAAGAGCCAAGAAAAGAAAUCCAACCCUCUAUCUGCCGCAAGUAUGAGACAGUGAGACACUAUUCUUCUUCACUAGCUAUAACAUCUACCAAAUGGCUGACCAACACCAGUUUCUAGUUAUGCUCAUUAAUUAAUGAAUCAUUUCUUUUAAAACUAAUUAGUUUAACGAGAUGAACUUUUGGAUUUAAUUAAGAAACAAAGGUUAUAAUUUUGGUGGCCUAAAACAUUAAAAGAAUAAAAAGUCAAUAAGUAUAUACCAAGACAACGAACUAGAAGACAAAAAACAAGUACUGCUCCGAGGACCUUUGAAAUGUCCAAUUCUUUUGNNNNNNNNNNNNNNNNNNNNNNNNNNNNNNNNNNNNNNNNNNNNNNNNNNNNNNNNNNNNNNNNNNNNNNNNNNNNNNNNNNNNNNNNNNNNNNNNNNNNNNNNNNNNNNNNNNNNNNNNNNNNNNNNNNNNNNNNNNNNNNNNNNNNNNNNNNNNNNNNNNNNNNNNNNNNNNNNNNNNNNNNNNNNNNNNNNNNNNNNNNNNNNNNNNNNNNNNNNNNNNNNNNNNNNNNNNNNNNNNNNNNNNNNNNNNNNNNNNNNNNNNNNNNNNNNNNNNNNNNNNNNNNNNNNNNNNNNNNNNNNNNNNNNNNNNNNNNNNNNNNNNNNNNNNNNNNNNNNNNNNNNNNNNNNNNNNNUUCUUUUGUUAAUUCUGUAAUAUAAUCCAAGGAAAUCUUAUACUAUAUAUUUAUCUUUUGAGGUAAAAUAAUCAGAUAAAUAUAGGGAACAAAGAAAGAAAUGGGGAAGUACAAGAUUACGCAUGCAAUUUAAGAUAGCACACAUGGGUUGUCCUCUAUUGCUUGGUGUAUAAUGUAUUGUUGCACUUGGUUUUGACUUUUACUUAUAAAAGCUGGCAAAAAUGGGUAAAUACAUAUUUACACAAAAUCAAUCAAUUUAAUAUUAGCAACUAGAAAUUAAAGUGAGAAUACACAUCAUUUAAUUUUGUGUAUGAAAAACAUGUGCCUUGCAUUGAUAGAUUUGAUAUAAAUAUCCUAUAUGAGUAAAUUUUUGCAUCAAAAAUGGUCGCCGGUCCGUGAAUCACUAUCUCAGUAGUUGCAAUUAUUAGUUUGACCGCGAGUAUUUGCAAAUAUUUUGAUUUCAACUAAAAGGUGCAUUUCAGGUGAAAUAUUAGUUUUUUUCCCCCCACAAAUUUUCAACAUUCAUAAACUUUAAUUCUUUCCGAGUGAAGUUCACAUCCAAGUAAAGUGACUCCAAUUUUGACCUCAUGGAUAAUUUGAUCUCUCGCAGCCUUUUAGCCUUUAUUUUCAUAUUCUAGGAACGUGACAAAUAAAAAUCACAUAAGGAAUGUGGCUUUUAAGAAAAGAAGAGUUGGGUAAAAUGUUGGGCUAUAAAUUAUAGCAUAGGUGUGACAGUCAAAAUUGUAUUUACCAUGUAUGGCAUAAGCCAAAGCUUGUUGCUAUCUUUACAUUUAAUUUCAUUUUAGAAAUUACAUCACUGAUUCAAGCUACUAAACUAGAAAGUAUGUGAAAUGUUAUGCGUCAAAGUAGUGCGGCAAGAAAAGUGGUAUAUUAACUGAACCUAAAGAAAACUUAGUCUAACACUAAUAUUUUUCCUAGUGAUAGCAAAUCUUUUCCCGUGCUUUAUUUAUUUGUAGACAUUUUUGUUUAUUCACGAGCAAUGCCCCAAAGUUUUAUAUACUCAGAUUUCAUAUAGAGGCUCAUGACUUGACAAUAGGUUAGUUUAUAGACACUUCGAAACCAAACUCCUUAUUUAGUUUGCCUGCCAAAAUUUAAUAAAGACUUUGUUGAUAUAAUUUUAAUUAUUAAGAGUAGUUUAAACCUCCAACUAGCUAGUGUAUGGUUCGCUCAACGGGUAGUAAGAGUUGAGUGUCACUUACAUCCCACCACAAGGCAUUCCUAUGUCAAUAAUAUGAAGUUUAUAUUGGGACAAUACAUAUUUCAAUCCUUGAACUCGUUCGAUUAUUAUUCUAGAAUAAUAGUAAAACUUUGUGGGGGUCAUAACCCCCUUGUAUUUGUUGGAAGUGGGAUUAUUAUAACCAGUACUAGUUUUAAAAAGAUUAGUGCAAACACCGAACCAAUCACGUUUCCGUAAUUUUUCUUAUACUAUUUUUUUCCAUGCAUUAACCCUUUAUUGGCCUAGGGGUUGAGCCGCCCUUGUUAAGAAUGCUUGUGUAAUCAUCCUGUAUGUUGAGCAAAGGAAAGCAUGAGACGACAUCACUGAUCAGUCUUGCGAGUGCAAGCUAUAACGAGCCAUUGACAAACAAGUACAAAAUGUUAGUCCGGAUUUCAUUCCCAUGCUUUACUGGUAUCAAAUCUAACAAAUCAGGCAUUUGCAUUCUAAAACCCCUAUAACUACAAACCCAACAAAAAUACUUGUGCUAACUUAAGUGAACUCCCUCCGCUAAAUAAAUAGAAGAUCCCGUUAUAGAUUUUCCAGGACAUGAUACUAUACAAUACUGCCCUUCACAAAGGAAGUGUUACCACUCGGAAAGAAUAACCAUCUGCUAAAUUAACCGACUUGAUGUUAUAUCACUUACCCCAGCACGAUUAGGCUCCUUUAUUCUGAACUUAUAUCAGAAGGCAUUCAUUUUGAACUCAUGCCUGAUGCACU
rnacentral:lncRNA from 1 species